rnacentral:tRNA from 1 species
AGGAGAAUAGUUAAUAAUAACAUUUAUAUUGCAAAUAAAAAGUAUUGAUCUAUCAAUUUCUCUUA